AUGAACGCUGGCGGCGUGCCUAAUACAUGCAAGUCGAGCGAACGGACGAGAAGCUUGCUUCUCUGAUGUUAGCGGCGGACGGGUGAUUAACACGUGGAUAACCUACCUAUAAGACUGGGAUAACUUCGGGAAACCGGAGCUAAUACCGGAUAAUAUUUUGAACCGCAUGGUUCAAAAGUGAAAGACGGUCUUGCUGUCACUUAUAGAUGGAUCCGCGCUGCAUUAGCUAGUUGGUAAGGUAACGGCUUACCAAGGCAACGAUGCAUAGCCGACCUGAGAGGGUGAUCGGCCACAAUGGAACUGAGACACGGUCCAGACUCCUACGGGAGGCAGCAGUAGGGAAUCUUCCGCAAUGGGCGAAAGCCUGACGGAGCAACGCCGCGUGAGUGAUGAAGGUCUUCGGAUCGUAAAACUCUGUUAUUAGGGAAGAACAUAUGUGUAAGUAACUGUGCACAUCUUGACGGUACCUAAUCAGAAAGCCACGGCUAACUACGUG
rnacentral:rRNA from 1 species